CUGCUGUGUCACAAAGAUACUGGAAAGGGGCAAGGUGAAGGAGGAGACCAGCAGAGCAGCCACGGCCGGGACAGUGCAGAGGAGGGAAGAUGACACAGCUGUGAGACAUUUUGGGGAAUAGGUCCUUCUGUCACGGGGCACAGGACCCUUGACCGCAAAAUGACGUGAGUUACCACUGACUAUUUUCUGGGUCUUGAUCUUGUGACUCCAAAUGGAUGGUACAGCUUGAGCAAAGACACAGAAGCAGAAGGCAGGUUUUUGGUUCCAUGAACUCUACAUCUGGCUACAUACAAAUGGUGAAGAGGAACAGGGAGAAACAUGGUUGAAAAGAACAGGCUUGGACUUCAGGAAGCAGUAAAAUGAGCGAAUGCCAUUUAUGGUUACAAAGAUAACUCAGCUGGGGGCCAAACAGAGACUGAAAUGGAGUGGGUGAGGAUGGAGGCCGGGAGGAGAUGGCUGCAGAGGUCCCAGCAAUGACAGUGGUUGUGGGAAGGGGCAACCCCAAGUCUUGUGCUCCCAACUGCAAAUCCAGUGCUUUUUCUAAAAAAAUAUUUAAAUAAUUUAUUUAUUUUUGAGAUGGAGUCUCGCUCUGUCACCCAGGCUGGAGUGCAGUGACACAAUGUCGGCUCGUGCAACCUCUGCCCCCCGGGUUCAAGCGAUUCUCCUGCCUCAGCCUCCCAAGUAGCUGGGAUUACAGACGCACGCCUCCACGCCUGGCUAAUUUUUUAUAUUUUUGGUAGAGAUGGGGUUUCACCAUGUUGCCCAGGCUGGUCUCGAACUCCUGACUUCAAGUGAUCCACCCACCUCGGCCUCCCAAAGUACUAGGAUGACAGGCGUGAGCCACUGUGCCCAGCCUUAUUUUUUUUUUUAAUUUAUAUUUUCAGAGGCAAACGAUCCUUGCUCAUUAAAAAAAGGAAAUAGAAAUUCAAAACAAAAAUGCCUGUAUCUGAUGGGAAAGAUGAGCCCAAUGUUCUUUUUUAAAAAACCUUUAUUAUGAAAUAUUUCAACUGAACAUAUGCAGUUUAUAUUGUUAUAAAGCAUAACAAGCAAUCAAACAGCUGUGAACCCACCACUCCAUGUCAGAACUAGAACUUCCCAAAGCAGUCGGAGCUGAGGUGAGAUCCACUCUGAUGCCCUUCCCCAACUCCACGCCACCCCCCAAGACCUGACCACCUGAUUACUCUGGGAUUUCAUUUUUGUCUCGUUCCCUUGCUUUGCUUUAUGUCUUUACCAAAUGUGAAUGUGUGCCUAAACAAUACAGUGCUCGAUUUGCUUGUGUUUAAGCUUUAUUACAAAUAUAACUUUGAUCCUUCUGCUACUUGCAAUUCUAAAUUUGAUAUUACGAGUCUCAGCCUCAUCGGCGUUGAUGCGUGUGACCGACAUUGAUUCACUCUCACCAGUACGUGGUGUGUUCCGUUGCAUGCAUGCACCCCUGCUGGGGUAUCCAUUCUCCUGUUGGUGGACCUUUGGGUGGUAUUAGUUGCUGGUCAUCUCCAUGGUGCUGUCCUCUUGCAGGUCUCCAGGACACAUGUGCAUGAGUUCCUCUAGGAAACCACGGUGUACAACUGCUGGGUUGCAGGCCCAGGGUUCUUUCCACUUCUCUAUCCUCCCAAGUAGGGUCCAGCUGGCCUUAGUGCUGCCAUGCUGAGAGCUCUGGGAGGGGCAACCCAGGGCAGACAGGCCCAGGCCAGCCACCCUGCCCCAGGCAUUUCCCAGGACUCAUCAGGCACCCAGCGGCCCCUCAGCAGUGAGCAAUACCAGAAAUCUGCCAGCUGGCUACUAACUGGGUCACAAGAGAGUACUGCUGUCUCACUCAGGGUGCGUUCCAUUUCCUUCAGCACUUGCGCCAAGUAAGGCUGUGUUCACAGGCCACAAGACCCAAGGGAGAUGGAAAUCAGCUCACAGAUGCUGAGCUGACUGCACACCAGGCAGUGUGCAAAGCACCUUACACAUAUAACUCACUUAAUCCUCAUCCCUGACUGCACGAGGUGGGCACUAUUAUUAACCCCACUUUACAGAUAAGAAACUGAGGCGCAGGAAGUUGAAAAUUUUGCCCAGACCAACACGUACAACUUCAAAUCCAGACAGCCUGGCCGCUCUGCUCCUACUACUCUGCUACCCCAUCUCUCAAGAGGGGAAAAGGACUAGCUCCUUGCCCAAUCCUGAGGUUGUCAGCAUUCUUUUACUGGCAAGGAAAACAAAUGGAACUUCAAUGAAUAUAUGUAGAAAGAAAGACUUAUUAGCUGACAAAAAUCAAUAGAGAAAAGACAGGUUAGAAGCAGAUCUCAGGGCCCACUGGGUCCAGGGAGGCGAAAGCGCCCCUCCUUCUCCGUCUUCCUCCUCCACGUCUCUCUUUGUGCUGUUUUCAUUCUUUCCUAUUGCAAAAGGGCCUCCUCCCCUGGGCAGGUAGGUGGCUGCCUGCAACUCUCACCUCACCUUCUCACAGAUCUGCCUAUUUCUAUUUUAAAAUACAAACAAACCAAAAGCCAGAGAAGGUUCCUGACAGGCCCAGGAAAGGAUGUGAUUAGCUUAGUCUGGGCCACCUGCCCAUUUUUUAUGGACUAAAUGUUUGUGUGUCUCCAAAUUGGUAUGUGGAAGCCCUACCCCCAGUGUGACAGUAUUAGGAAGUGGGGCCUCUGAAAGGUCAUUAGGUUUCAAUGAGGUCAUGAGGGUGGGGGGAUCCAUGAUGGAAUUAGUGCCGUUAUAAGAAAAGGAAGAGACACCAGAGUUUUCUCUCCACCAUGUGAGGUUACAGCAAGAAGGCAGCUGUCUGCAAGCCUGAAGAGAGCCCUUACCAGGAGCCAAAUCUGCCAGCACCCUGAUCUUGGACUUCCAGAACUGUGAGAAAUAAAUUCCUGUUCCUGAAGCCACUCAGUCCGUGGGAUUCUAUUAGCAGUCGGGACUGACUUGGACACUGUUCCUGGAGCAACGCUAGUGGCCUGGGGAAGCUGGGCCCUGGGACUGGUGCAGGGAGGGCCACAGUCCCAGCCUAUAGCAGCUGAAGCUGCAUUUGUCCCCAGGAAGAGGACAUCACAGACACAACCCCAGAGGCAGUGGGAGGGGGCAUGAUUGAUUGGGAGCAAGGCAACAGUCUAACAGGGCCCAUCUGUGCCCAGGAGUGGGAGAAGCUCCUGGCCAUGAAGAGAGCCCUCACCAGAGGCCAAACCUACUAGGACCUUGAUCUUGGACUUCCAGCCUCCUCCCUGGAAACACGUGACAGCACAUAUGGGUGGUCUCCCUUCUUGAGCGAGGCCUGAGUCUUCACCCAGGAUCCAACUAGACUGAAAAGAACUGUCUCCCUAACAGCACUCCAUCAGCAUUCAGAGAAAAGAGAUUUCCACCUGGUGUUUUUAACCAACACAACCUCCUUCUACACCCUAACCCAUAGAGGGCCCUGGGACCAGUAUAAGAAGUGUGGGUGUUAAGCUGGGACUGCUAGAAGGAGCAGCAGCCCCAUGGGAGCAGGGCAGGAGGGUCCCCUCUUGACCUGCUGACUGCAAACACUGCAGCCGGAGAGACACUCACUCAGGCCACGGUGGGGAGGCCCAGGGGAGGCACGUGUCCUCAUUCUGCUAAGGCGAUAGGGCUCGGGCACAGGACAGGCGAUUUGA
rnacentral:lncRNA from 1 species